rnacentral:tRNA from 1 species
GGCCGCGUAGCUCAGUUGGCAGAGCAUUGGGCUAGUAUUCCAAAGGUCUUAGGUUCGAUUCCCACCGUGGCCG